rnacentral:misc_RNA from 1 species
CAACCCUCAGAACUCCUUGUACUUUUUGUACGGGGGUGUGCUGGUGUUGGGGCUUCUGCGGCUGCCGCAGGCCCUGAAUAACAGUGGCGGGCUCCGCUAUACUCCGAGCGUAGUAAUACUUCUCGCUCAGGGUGUGUAGCGGAGAUCUAGCCUUGUCUUCUUACUUAAAUGG